rnacentral:rRNA from 1 species
GACAGAGGGUGCAAACGUUGUUCGGAAUUACUGGGCGUAAAGCGCGUGUAGGCGGCUAAGUAAGUCGGGCGUGAAAUCCCACGGCUCAACCGUGGAAGUGCACUCGAAACUGCAUAGCUAGAGUCCUGGAGAGGAAGGUGGAAUGCUUGGUGUAGAGGUGAAAUUCGUAGAUAUCAAGCGGAACACCGGUGGCGAAGGCGGCCUUCUGGACAGUGACUGACGCUGAGACGCGAAAGCGUGGGGGGCAAACAGG